UUCAGAUUGAACGCUGGCGGCAUGCCUUACACAUGCAAGUCGAACGGCAGCAUGAUCUAGCUUGCUAGAUUGAUGGCGAGUGGCGAACGGGUGAGUAAUACAUCGGAACGUGCCCUGUAGUGGGGGAUAACUAGUCGAAAGAUUAGCUAAUACCGCAUACGACCUGAGGGUGAAAGUGGGGGACCGCAAGGCCUCAUGCUAUAGGAGCGGCCGAUGUUUGAUUAGCUAGUUGGUGAGGUAAAGGCUCACCAAGGCGACGAUCAGUAGCUGGUCUGAGAGGACGAUCAGCCACACUGGGAGUGAGACACGGCCCAGACUCCUACGGGAGGCAGCAGUGGGGAAUUUUGGACAAUGGGCGAAAGCCUGAUCCAGCAAUGCCGCGUGUGUGAAGAAGGCCUUCGGGUUGUAAAGCACUUUUGUCCGGAAAGAAAUGGCUCUGGUUAAUACCUGGGGUCGAUGACGGUACCGGAAGAAUAAGGACCGGCUAACUACGUGCCAGCAGCCGCGGUAAUACGUAGGGUCCAAGCGUUAAUCGGAAUUACUGGGCGUAAAGCGUGCGCAGGCGGUUGUGCAAGACCGAUGUGAAAUCCCCGAGCUUAACUUGGGAAUUGCAUUGGUGACUGCACGGGUAGAGUGUGUCAGAGGGGGGUAGAAUUCCACGUGUAGCAGUGAAAUGGGUAGAGAUGUGGAGGAAUGCCGAUGGCGAAGGCAGCCCCCUGGGAUAACACUGACGAUCAUGCACGAAAGCGUGGGGAGCAAACAGGAUUAGAUACCCUGGUAGUCCACGCCCUAAACGAUGUCAACUAGUUGUUGGGGAUUCAUUUCCUUAGUAACGUAGCUAACGCGUGAAGUUGACCGCCUGGGGAGUACGGUCGCAAGAUUAAAACUCAAAGGAAUUGACGGGGACCCGCACAAGCGGUGGAUGAUGUGGAUUAAUUCGAUGCAACGCGAAAAACCUUACCUACCCUUGACAUGCCACUAACGAAGCAGACCCUUGUCUCUAGUUGCUACGAAAGGGCACUCUAGAGAGACUGCCGGUGACAAACCGGAGGAAGGUGGGGAUGACGUCAAGUCCUCAUGGCCCUUAUGGGUAGGGCUUCACACGUCAUACAAUGGUGCAUACAGAGGGUUGCCAAGCCGCGAGGUGGAGUUAAUCCCAGAAAAUGCAUCGUAGUCCGGAUGUUAGUAUGCAACUCGCCUACGUGAAGCGGGAAUCGUUAGUAAUCGUGGAUCAGCAUGCCGCGGUGAAUACGUUCCGUAGUCUGCAACUCGACUACGUGAAGCUGGAAUCGCUAGUAAUCGCGGAUCAGCAUGCCGCGGUGAAUACGUUCCCGGGUCUUGUACACACCGCCCGUCACACCAUGGGAGUGGGCUUUACCAGAAGUAGUUAGCCUAACCGCAAGGAGGGCGAUUACCACGGUAGGGUUCAUGACUGGGGUGAAGUCGUAA
rnacentral:rRNA from 1 species